UUUUUAUUAUUGAAUCCUGAAAAUAUGCAGCCUUUUCCCCAAUGAAAUAAAAUGACUGAAAUAAACAUACCAAAAAUAUCAAUUCUUCACAGGGUGUGUUACAUUGAUGUUAAUCUAUUUCUACUGCACAACUAACCUGCUGAUUAGAAACUAAAUACAAAUUGAAAUGAAUUGACUUUCUCCUCUUGAUGAUACUGGUGUUACAGAUGCUUCCUUCAUGACCUUGACCACACAGUCAAAUGUUACAGCUUGUUUAAUUUAAAUGUCUGUUGUUUCUGUCUUCAGAAACACCGCCAACGCAGCAAAGAGACCUCGGUCCCAGUGCAGAGGUCCGUUCCCAGGCCGGUGCGCAGGAGGG